GACAUCCCUGACCUGUGUAGCGUCUUGAGUUCCCAUGACCUCGACACGAUGCAUGUGCGGAGCAUCGGGGGCUGCCAGUGCGACAGCCUCCAACUCGAAGGGUACCACCUCACCACGUGAAGUCUCAGACGACUUUGCAAGGUAAGCAGCAUGGCUGACCCUUCGCUUCCACGAGCGAAUGGGGCCUAGAGGGUUCACAAUGCGGAGGCAUACUGGCUUGCCAUGCGAAGUAUCAGCCAUCUUUGUAGAGUAAGCAGCAGGGUCAGCCCUCUGCUGCUCCUCCUUCAAGCAAAUGGCGUUCAAAAUGCCGACCAUGCGCCGAAGGAUAUCAAGGCUAACGCGGGGCACACCCUUCGAUCGAUAUCUACUAUCAAGCCCUGCAAAACAAACCAAAAUGACAAAAAUUAAAAAAAAGAGAACAAAAGAAAAGGAUAUUAAAUCAAAAUCAACAAAACAAAGUGGCCUUACUCGCACCACCCGACGUAUCCUUUGGCCGUACGUUAGGACCCAAAAUAAAAUUUUGGUUCAUGUCAUGGUCCUCCACGGACACAUCGCUGGCCCGCGGAGCGUCUUGAGGUCCCAAGACCUCGGCACGACGCACGUGUGGGGCAUCGAGGGCUGCAGGUGUGACACCCUCUGACACAGAGGGUACCGCCUUGCCACGUGAAGUCUCGACUGACUUUACAGGGUCUGCAGCAGGACCGACUCUCAGCUUCCUCGAGCGAAUGACGUCCAAAGGGUUCACAAUGAGUAGGGGAGCCUUCCCCUUCGAUGUGGCUCCACUGAUUGUAUCAUGCCCUGCAAAACAAACCAAAAUGACAAAAAAAGAGAGAAGAAAUAAAAUGAAAAAUAAAUCAACAAAACGAAGUGGCCUUACCCGUACCACACGACGCCUCCUCCGAUAGUACAUUCGAACCCAAAUUCAAAAUUUGGUCAACGUCAUGGUCCUCCACGGACACAUCCCUGGCCUGCGGAGUGUCUUGAGGUCCCAAGACCUCGCCAUAACGCACAUACGGAGCAUCGGGGGCUGGAGGUGUGACACCCUCCGACAUAGAAGGUACUGCCUCGCCACGUGAAGUCUCGGCAGACUCUGCAAGGUCAACAGCAUGGUGAAUCCUCCACUUCUUCGAGCGAAUGACGUCCAGAGGGUUCAUAAUGCAGAGGGGGCCUUACCCUUCGAUGUGUCUCCAUACAUUGUAUCAAGCCCCGCAAAACAAACCAAAAUGUCAAAAAUUUAAAAAUGUCAGAAGAAAUAAAAUAAAAUGUAAAUCAAAAUCAACAAAACGAAGUGGCCUUACCCGCACCACCCGAUGUCUCCUUCGGCCGUACAUUAGGACCCAAAAUCAAAUUUUGGUUCACGUCAUGGUGAUCCACAGACACAUCGCUGGCCCGCAGAGCGUCUUGAGGUCCCGAUACCUCGUCACGACGCACGUGUCGGGCAUCAAGGGUUGCAGGUGUGACACCAUCCAACACGGAUGGUACCGCCUUGCCACGCGAAGUGUCGGCCGACUUUACAGGGUCCGUAGCAGGGCUCACACUCCGCUUCCUCGAGCGAAUGACAUCCAGAUGGUUCACAAUGAGUACGGGAGCCAUCCUCUUCGAUGUGGCUCCACACAUUGUAUCAUGCCCUCCAAAACAAACCAAAAUGACAAAAAAAUAAUAAAAAAGAAAUAAAAUGAAAAAUAAAUCAACAACACGAAGUGGCCUUACCCGCACCACCCGACGUCUCCAACAGUACAUUCGAACCCAAAUUCAAAAUUUGGUCAACGUCAUGAUCCUCCACGGACACAUCCUUGGCCUGCGGAGUGUCUUGAGGUCCCAAGGCCUCGACAUGAUGCACGUACGGAGCAUCGAGGGCGGCAGGUGUGACACCCUCCGACACAGAAGGUACCGCCUCGCCACGUGAAGUCUCGGCAGACUCUGCAAGGUCAACAGCAUGGUCAGCCCUCCGCUUCUUCGAGCGAAUAACAUCUAGAGCGUUCACAUUGCGAGGGGGAGCUUACCCUUCGAUGUGCCUUCACGCAUUGUGUGAAGCCCUUCAAAACAAACCAAAAUGCCAAAAAAUUAAAAAAAAGGGGGGAAGAAAUAAAAUGAAAUGAAAAUCAAAAUCAACAAAACGAAGUGGCCUUACCCGCGCUAUCAGACGUCUCCUCCGACAGUACAUUAGGACCCGAAUUCAAAAUUUGGUCCAUGUCAAAGCCCUCCAGGGACACAUCUCCGAGCCGUGGAGCGCCUUGAGGUCCCAAAACCCCAGCAUGAUGCACGUGCAGAGCAUCAGGGGUUGUCGGUGCAACACCCUUCGACAUAAAGGGUGCCACCUCGCCACGUGAAGUAUCGAUCGACUUUGCAGGGUCAGCGGCAAGGCCGGCCCUCUGCUUCGAGAGAACGACGUCAAGAGGAUUCACAAUGCGGAGGGGGGCCUUAUCCUUCGAUGCGCCUGCACGAUUUGUAUCAAGCCCUGCGAAACAAACCAAAAUGACAAAAAAAGAGAAGAAAAGAAAAGUAAAUCAAAAUCAACAAAAUGAAGUGGCCUUACACGCACCACCCGAUGUCUCCUCUGGCAGUACAUUAGGACCCGAAUUCAAAUUUUGGUCCACAACACAGUCCCCCGCGGAGACAUCCCUGACCUGUGUAGCGUCUUGAGUUCCCAUGACCUCGACACGAUGCAUGUGCGGAGCAUCGGGGGCUGCCAGUGCGACAGCCUCCAACUCGGAGGGUACCAUCACCACGUGAAGUCUCAGACGACUUUGCAAGGUAAGCAGCAUGGCUGACCCUCCUCUUCCUCGAGCGAAUGGGGCCUAGAGGGUUCACAAUGCGGAGGCAUACUGGCUUGCCAUGCGAAGUAUCAGCCAUCUUUGUAGAGUAAGCAGCAGGGUCAGCC
rnacentral:lncRNA from 1 species